GCCGCUCCUGCAUUAAAAUUUCAUGGGCGCUGCAGUAAACGCGAAGACGAUGCCGGCUGCGCUGGGGGGCCGUAGGGAGGGAGGCUGCGGACCAGAGCGGGGAGGAGUUUGCGAGGGGAGGCGCUUGGGAGGACUCCCCCAGUUCUGUUAAGAGCUGGGCACAAAGAGCCCUUUGCACUCCAGCCGCAGGAGCGAAGAGGAGCCGAGCUAGAUGCACAUGGGCGUGGGGACUUCCGUACACACCAACCCACAAGGUUAGCAGCUGGAGUCCUGUCUGUCCUCAUCACACGGACAUGGCUGACCUGUCUCAGUAGUACCCGGGGGCGAAGCAGGGAGCUGGGCGGUGGAGGCCAACGACUUUACCAAGUUGGCUCUGUCACAACACAGGGACCGAGCCUCCUGAGCCUCAAGAUUUCCGGCUGGUACCCAGGUGGCAGAAGAGCGGAGGGAUUUGGAAAAAGACGCCGCUACCCUGCAAAGCAGCCUUGCAGAUAAGUAUCAUUUCACCAGCCCGCCUGCUCUCUGCUGGUGCGUGUGAGAAAGGUUCAGCUCUGGAACCCGGGACGGGAGGGUGGAUGGGCUCAUCCUGUGACUCUGGCUCUUGAAGAUGCCAUUGGUCAGCUUGAACAGGCUCCUUGGUCUUGCAGACACGGGGGGGGGGGACCUCCUCAGGGUUCCUCCACUCAGGAUCCUCCAGGAUCCUGGGACAGGAGGCUCUAAGAGCAGCUACGAGAUGUAUCGCCUUCCCUGGCUCGGGGUUUGGAGCACAGAUGUAGCAUGACUGUUAGGAAAGAGCCAACCUGAGUCCUGGUGUGACAUGCAGGCACUCCCUUCUCUCUUCCACCACCCCGGUGACUUGCAGUGGUCCACACAAGCCCUGCACCUUUUGGCCACCUGUUUCUUUGUUGUGGGGGUCACAGGAAGGAAGGGACUGAGAUGGGCAGAGGGCUGCUCUCAUUUCUCAACCAGGCCUUGAAUGGCCACCCUUGUGGGUCAGGGCAGGGAUCAGAGAGAGGCACAGGCUCCCAGCCACCAGGAUAGUACUAAGCUCAGAGUUUCAGAUCCCUCUCCGUCCAGCACCCCCCACCUCUGUUGUCCCCUAUUUGCCCAGUUUGCUCUGAGUUUUCCUGGGUCACACAAGAAUCCACAAUGCUCUAGUUGACAGAGAAGGAGGAAGCAGAUGGCUCCUGAGCCAAGGCAGGGCUUGGGCCUGGUCAUCUCCUAGGGUGCAUCCUGUGUGUGUGUUGGGGGGGGGGGGAGCGGGUGGCUGGCUCUUCUGUCUUCCAGAGUCAUCCUGUGAUGUCUGUGUGCGGGAGGCGCUAGGCUCUAGGCCUUCCAUGAUGUUGAUGAUGUAAUGAUGUCAGAUGUCAACCUGACCUUUAAGGUGGUGCUGCUGGCCAUCCAGGGGUGAACGCCAGAGAGAUGGCCCCACCUUCUAUGAUCUUCAAGUACGAAAACCCAUCACCACAGCUCAGCAAGCGGACAGCUCUGUGCAUCUCCAGACCCUUAUCUGUCUUGGAGCCCCCGGGAUCCCUUGGAUUCUGACCUCCUGGAACUGGGGAGCAACCUGUCUCCCUGAAGACCCUCUCCUUCCCAGUACCUGAGAUGGAGCCUGCCUCCCCCCGAAGAAGAGCCAUUCCUGAAGAUGUACUACUGAGGAGUCACCCUGCUUUUUUCAUGGACAGCUCCAGGGGGUGGGGGGAGGCUGCAGCUUAGAACCCAGGCACCGGGAGGCCUCUCCUCAUCUCAUGUGGACUGGAAUCCUCCAGUCUCUGGAGAUGGGGUGGAGCUAGGCCCCCUCCUGGCCACAGGGUGGUGUCUCAAAGGACCUGCGGGUAGGGUAGGACUCCAUGGGCUCGGAGGAGGAGCUGAUGGGGAGGAGUCCCAUGUCUGUCUUUGUCUGUUUUCCUUUCUCUCGUUUUUUCCCUUUUCAAUUCCUUUUCUUUUCUUUCUUUCUUUUCUUUUUUGUCUGUUUGCUGCUUGAGUGAUGAGUCUGGGUGCCUCUUGGGUGAGGCUUUUAGCUCCCUGCUGGUUGUGGGAAGGGGAGAGACAGACAGUCCUGGUCCGGGAGGAGUCUGGCUAGCCUCCCCUGUGCUGUUCAGCACAGGAAGGAACCUUGGAAAGAGAAAGGGGGCACUCUAAGAUAAGGAGACCCAGUAUGGAGGUCCAUAGCCCCAGCUUCCUCUAGUCACUGGAGAAUGGGCUGCACCCAGUCAGUUACAAAGACUUUGCCCAGGACAUGGGGGGUGCCCAGCCAGCACCCCAAUCCAUAUUGCAUAGCCACGGAGGGAUCCUCAGGGCCCAGUGCCCAGUAUAACCUGUCCAUUCUUCACCUCUUGUCACAGACAGUCCUGGAGGAGGGUCUACAACCAGCAACAGCACUGUAUGGCCUUCCUUGGGACAGUCUAGAAUCAGGAAGCCCUUGACUGCAGUGGGGUGGGGCACAGUUGAUUAUUUAUUCUGCAUCCUGGCCUGCGGUGCUCGGCCCCAGAGACUCACACCACAGGGCUUGAGGCUGGCAAAGCAAGACCAAAGUGCCAGCGGUAGCUUAUGUCUUCACGGGGCCUUGCUCGGUGUCCAGAGUGAGUGAGAGAGGCUCCAGGGUUUUGUCCAUGACGGCCUUGCCAUUUCAGGACCCAAGCUUACAAAGAACGACCUUAUCUGAGCUUAGGCACAUCCCUGGUCUUGUCUCUCUGUGCCUUCACAGAGGGGCUGGAGAUUCAGCCUGUGCCUCUCGGGGCGGGGAAAGAGGGGAAUCAUAAACAUGAGCAGCUAGACUCCCCUUCAGAGUUCCUCAGGUAGGGAGGAACAGGCAAACAUAAGAAGGGUACAGGGUUGCGGGCGUUGUGCCAGUUGUCUUGAGGACAUACACGGUGGCUGCAGCCAGUACGGAGCCAGCUUGGGUCUCAGGGUACCCUCUACAAGCCCCCUUGUCUCUACCAGCUUUGAUUUCCACAUGUCAUGUGGGCCAUAUGCUCUCUUGGUGGCCUAGGCAGCUCUUAGGCGAACCUGUGCCUGGCUCAGUGCUAGGCGCUCAGUAGAUGUGCCAUACAGUUCUGUUUCAGUGGGAGUGUAGGGAGUUUAGGUGAGGGUUCAUCUGGGUUGGGUACAGUCUGAUCCACGGGCGUUUCUGGCUGGGCCACUCAGAGUGGUCUGCCUUGCCGACCAGUCUGGGGGCAGCGGCCACCUUUGGUUUCUGUUGUAGUUUGCGGCUUUUCCAGAAGGAGAUGAACCUUGUUUCCUGCUAGACCAUGGAUCCCAGCAGGGUUCUUUUAUUUGUGUAGCCAUCUUGGGAAAUACAGGUGCUGUCCAGCCGCAUCUCAGACACUUUGCAACUUUGUAGUCAUCGGCCAGAAACCGUGUCCAGGAAGAAUUAGCCAAUAGGCAGUCAAGAGAGGCCAGAGUGAUUAGACAAUAGGCAGGCAAGAGAGGCCAGUGUGGGAGAGAGACCCCAGCUCUGGCAGGAGGGAGGGAGAGGCUUCGUAGUCAGGCUGACCCCUGCAGGAGCUUUGAAGGAUGAGAAAGGCGUGGCUUGCCUGAGUGGUUUUGGAAAGAAACUAAAGCAAAAUUCAAAUAGGUCAAAUACAGGGUAGGACUUUUUAGAGCCUCAAAGUGCUAACGAGCACCUCAGACACUCAGGCUGGGAUGGAAGGGUGAGACAUCAUCUGUCUUUGCUGGCUACAGAAUUAUUUUCUUACCCAACAUCUAGAAUGUUGGGAGACACAGCAUUGGGCUUUAGAAGUGUACUCAGGUGUCCCGUUGUCCUUGUCGCCUGGGAGGAAAGAGAAGCUGGAGGGGGUGGGGCUUGGGGGAGUCCCAGCUUUGUCUUCGGAGUCAGGUCAGUUCCUUGCAGUUCCUUCUUUGUAGAGGAGGGCAGGGUAGGCCAUUGGUGGGAGCAGCUAGAGACGGGGAGCUAGUGAUGGAAGAGAUGUUCAUUUUCAAAGGCAGCAGCUCUGGGGGGUGAGAUGCUGGUGUGUGUGUGUGUGUGUGUGUGUGUGUGUGUGUGUGUGUGCACGCUAGUGCUCACACACAAGCAUGUGAGGAGAUCCUUCUGGGAAGAGACUGGCCACAACUUGGCAGGGGGUUUGCACUGAGGACAAGCUGGGUACAUUUUUUUUUUUUUUUUUUUAGCAGAUCUGAAGUGUCUGUGGAGCUCUGAGACCCACAGCCUAGAAAUGGAAGCUCUGGGCUUCCAGCAUGGGGUUACUGAGGUCAGGCCUGGUUCCUACGGUGGGUGCUGAUGGGGGGUAUAGAGGCAGACCCCCUGCCCUGGUCAGGCUCCAUACCCAGGCUGGUGGGGACAGGAGGCCUGUGGUGGGUCAGGGGUGGGGGGGGCGUUGAGAGGGGAAGGCUGCAUGGUGUGAUUAACCUACUAACCAACCCAGGGCUCGGCCAGGACGCUGUGGCACGCGACGAGAUGCCUGGCCUUCUGUCAACCGACUAAUCCACUAACCUGGCCCGAGCAUGACCUACUAACCCCGAAGCAGCCAAACCCUACUAACUCUGCAGGCCAGGGGCCUUCCCGGAGGCUGGUACGCGGACAAGGCUCAGGAAGGCCCUGCCUGGGGGCUGGGAUCUAUGUGCAGACCCAUCCUGCAGGACAGGACAUGCUAGGAGACUCACCAACUCUGCCGCCCCCUGCUGGCGGAACGGGACCCUUCUACUUCCCUUGAUGCCCGUGGUGAGGUGACUGAGGUGUUGCCGCAUGGCAGGGACUUCAAAAUGGAGUAAGACACACUGAGGGCGGGCCUCGGGGGACUCGGUGGUACGUCCAUUCUCUGAUCUCGGGUGUUCUGCACACAGACCCUUCUACCUGGGGCAGACACGUGCUUUGAAUCCUUAACGUCUCUUCCCUUUCUCCCCUCUUGCCGGCUUUCUCUCCCGUAGGCAGCUCUUUUGAUUACUAAUUGUCUAACCCCGGGGCACCCCACUCUGCACCCCGCCGCCCCUUAACUAACGGCCCUCCCGCUGCCUUCUUCUCUCUAGUGGCUCCUGUGUGUGUCUGCUGGUGCUGUGCUCUGACCUACUAACCCGGCCCUACUAACUGGUUUCUCUUCUUACUAACCCAGCCCUGCCGAGCUCUGGGCCUCCUGGGGGCUGGUCCCUCCUUUUGGCAAGCAGAUGUCCCCAGGCUGUCCAGGCCAGAUCUGAGCCAGGGGGCAGCCGUAUUUAGUGACGCCCAGAGGAGGAGGAGGAGGAGGCUGUCCUGUGGACGUGGGACGCUGGGCUCCGAGCAUGACCUCUCUCCUCUGUGCACAAGUCUGGUUGCCACCAGGAGUGGAUGGGACCAGGGGACCUUGUGGGAACCAUUGUGGUGCCCGUGGCUCUAGAAUUGGCAAUUCUGGGCCCUACCUAGCUGGGGCCCUCUGUGAUUUAGGGCAGGGAGAGAGGGGUAAGAACAUCAGGGGCUGGCCAUCUGGUACAGGAGCUCAAAGGUGUGUGUUGGAACCCGAAGCCCUACCUGGAAGCUAUAAACAAGUUUCCUAAGCCGGCAGCAUGUGAGGGGCCAUUUCCUGGAAACACCACAGUGCAGAGUCGGGCGUUUCCCAGUGAAGCCCGAGGAGAGGGCAUCAGGAAGUCUGUAAGAGGGCUUUUCUCUCAGCCUGAGAAGAGAUGGCCAAUGGCCAGUAAGAACGUUCUCCACAUAGGCAGUCAACUAGCCAGGCCUUUUCCACUGAGAGAGGCGGAAAUCUCAAACUGGAAGUCUAUUUCGGACCAUUUUCACACAGGAAGUAGGUGUCAGGAUAUUUUUUCCCCUUAGGAAGUGUUUAGAGACACUCUCUCCACACUUAGAGAGGACGGGCUGCCAGUUGUCAAGAUGCACAGUCCGGGAAGUGUCUCUACGGGCCCUUAGGGCUUAUGGGAGGGGCAAAUGGGUGCCAGGAAGUGAAUCCUAGAGGCCCACAGGCCCAUGGGAAGUCACCCCAGCUCCUUGUCCGGUUUAUAUCCAUGCCUCUGCCCCAGCCAGCCUCCCCCAGAGCCCGCCAGCUGCUAAGCCAGGGCCACACCUGGGGGUGAUUUCAUGCCUCACCUCCAGUAGGCUCAUGGCCUCUCUGGGCUAACCUCUGGCUCUUUUGCACUAACUCUAGCUCUCCCCCAGCUAAUCCCUGCCUCUCCCUGGCUGCCCCAGGGGCUGACCACUAGCAGCCAGCCCCGCCCACCCGCGGGGCUCCAGGCUCCUGGCCUGGCGGCUCCUUUGAACCAACCACCCUUUCCUCUGGACUAAUGUAUGCCUUUCUGGUCUGUUCCUUCCGGCAGAAAUGAAUGGCUGUGGAUUUCUCUCUGACUAACAGGUCUCACACUCCUCUCCCUGUUACCACUAACGGCUUGGAUGAUGGCGGCGUGGCUGGCGAGGGAUGGGCGGAGGUGCUGAGCUUGGUUGCUAUGGGGAGGAUGUAGAGAGUGAGAGUAGACACGUGACCGGUCCGGGUCAGAGCUUUCAAAUGUCAAUUAAAGUGGUAACCGGGCUGGGGUGUGGCUCAGCCCAGAAGAAAGGAUACUGUCUACUGAGCAUUUUGGUGGGACCACACAUACAGCCAACCUUCUAUGGGUGUGGCCACCGGCUCCAUCCAUAUAGCCUUACAAUCUGCAGUGGCCGCUAGUUCCUGUAAACUACAGUGUCAGUUCUUGCAAGCAGUUCUUAGCUCAUAUAGGAGCCUAAGACACCUGUCUGGUGGGCCCAAUUUGUUACUUAUGGACUUGUUGAGCACAAGGUCAUGGCCUCCCUGGAGUCCUAGUUUAGGAGACUUACAGAGUUUUGGCCCUAUGACGACAUCAGACUCCAGAUAGAAAUAUCCAGAAGGGCUGUACAUUCUCCAUCGCUUACACCCUAGAGUAAAAUAACUCGACCUUUCCCUCCAAGUCUUUUAAAGAAGCUCUUUUACACAGGGUAGGCGUGCAGAGGGCAGGGAGUAUGGCUGGCAGGGAGUUAGGAAUCUUUAAGGCAAGGGGAAGUCCUCUGGAAGUAGGGACAGAAAGCCAUGAGGCCAAAGGGCCCUUGUGGAGCUGAGGGUGACACCAGGUUGAAGUGGGCAAGAGAAGAGAGCUUGUUUCACUGAGUGGUCUGGAAGCCAGAGCCUAGAAGGCUGGAGGCUCAGGGACAGGCUGCCUGAUCAAUGGGUGCUGUGAGAACUGCUUACCCACGGGGCUUAGGACUGACUGUAGAGAUGCCAGAGAGCCUAAGGAGGGACCUGAGCCACGGAGGAAGUGGAGAGACCACGGAGGCAAUGGAGAGACCCCGUAGGAACGUGGGUUUACCGGCCAGGUACGGCUAGUACGUACUCGCUGCUGCCCUCUCAUGGCCAAUCCGCCACAUUUUACAAACAAUGCCCAAAGAAAGGCUGCACAGGGGGCUCUGCUCCGGAAAUUGAGUGUGGGCAGAAGCUUGAUCGCAGAAGGCGUGACAGGGUCCCAGUUUGGGAUAGUAGCUGGUCCUCGGUGGCUGUAAUUAUGUGUGAUGGGCCCGGGACACUGAAGAGGGCAGGGAUCAGGAGAGCUAAGACGAGGUAGGCAGGGAGGGCUCGCUGAAGGGGAAUCAUGCCAGAUAAACCUUGACAGUCAGGGAGGGCGUGGCUGGAACAAGCCGCACUCGAUUUAGGAUUAGAGAGCACCCAAAGAUUCCUGGGGAGGUGUAUCAAGUGAGACGUUCAGGAGGUGGCAAGCUCCAGGCCUCAUUGGCUGUAAAAGACAGACUUCAUUCCUUGGGAUGCCAGACGUAGUCUGUAAUUGUAACCCCAGCACUUGCACAUUAGAGACAGAUCUCUGGGGUCUACCUGCCUGCCAGCCAGCCAGCCUAGCUAGUAUCAUAUGGUCUGAGAGAGAAGGUGGCAGGGCCCGAGUUCUCAGGCUACUUUGGUCGAGCCAGCCUAGGUGGGGCAGGGAGGAGCUUGCCAUGUGCGCUGGCCACGUUAUAGAAACCACCAGAACUUCUGGUCGCUGGGAAAGACACUUCGGUCCAUCUGGAGAGGAGCGGGGUUCAUAGUGCUCCACCCUUCCCUGGGGAUCGUGAGAGAUCCCCGGAAAGUGAGGGACCGAGGGGACAAAGAGGAACUUGAAACUUAACACAGGCCCCGGUGGUGUGCGCCUCCUCCAGAAGAUCUGGAGGUAGGUGGUGUUGGCGGUGAUGGUGUGUGUGUGUGUGUGUGUGUGUGUGUGUACACGUGUGUGCAUGAGAGAGCGAGAGAGACGGUAGAGAAAAAAGAGAGGCUAUAACUCGAGAAAACUGAGUCCCCGAGGCUCGUUCUAAUCGCCUGCAUCUGGGCUGCCCCUGCCCCCUAAUUCCAUUCAACUUUAGGCUUGUUUUGAGCAGGACCCUGUGGGUGCGGGAUUGGCCUCCUGUCUAAAGAGGUCAUAGCCUGCUUGGAGGGAGGAGCCUCGGUGGCUCCUCCCCGAGGGUGGGACUGGAGACAGCGAGGAAAACCUGGUGGUGUCCACAGGUUGGGAGCUCUGGUGCAGCCACUCUGGAAUCUGUCUAGGGAACCCAUUGUUUUAUAACCAUCUCAGCAAAGAUGUCUGUUCCAUGUUGUUCCUGCUGGGGGAAGCUGAGUGUGGGGCCCUGGAAUCCGGAUGUAGAUUAAAAGAUGUAGAUGCUUCCAUGGGUCCAGCCACAGUUACAGCGUCUUUUGGUUUUUAUGCUUGUAGCUGCCUCUGUGUAAGAUGCCGUUUUGAUAUUAAAACCGACCCACACUG